UGGGGAAUCUUGCACAAUGGAGGAAACUCUGAUGCAGCGAUGCCGCGUGAGUGAAGAAGGCCUUUGGGUUGUAAAGCUCUUUCGUCGGGGAAGAAAAUGACUGUACCCGAAUAAGAAGGUCCGGCUAACUUCGUGCCAGCAGCCGCGGUAAUACGAAGGGACCUAGCGUAGUUCGGAAUUACUGGGCUUAAAGAGUUCGUAGGUGGUUGAAAAAGUUGGUGGUGAAAUCCCAGAGCUUAACUCUGGAACUGCCAUCAAAACUUUUCAGCUAGAGUAUGAUAGAGGAAAGCAGAAUUUCUAGUGUAGAGGUGAAAUUCGUAGAUAUUAGAAAGAAUACCAAUUGCGAAGGCAGCUUUCUGGAUCAUUACUGACACUGAGGAACGAAAGCAUGGGUAGCGAAGAGGAUUAGAUACCCUCGUAGUCC
rnacentral:rRNA from 1 species